UUCAAGUGAUCAGUAGUCUUAUGUGGCCAGUGGCCACCAUACUGGACAGCAUAGAUUUAUAACAUAACCAACCUGCAUUCACACAAGACCAAAAACAAGACUAAAAUAUGACCAAUAACUUAUUUCUACCUAUAGAUUCUUCCCCCAACCUGCUUCUUGUCAGCUGGUCAGCUGGUUCAACUAGAUGUUAAGUUUGUGGAGGACAGAACAUGUAUAUGUAUGAUGCUCGUGUUUCGUUGUCUUCUCCAAGUAUGGUCCCUGGAUACUAGGAGUCCCUAAGAUCCUUUUAGAAAGAAGUGGCAACAUUUGGAAGAUAUGUAUAACUCGGGGAGCCAAUAUUUUCCAAAUGACCAGUGUGCGAUGUUUACAAAAUCAUGUAUGGGUGAAAGAUCCAUUCAAAGAGGCUCUUGACAGGGGAAGGGGCUGGAACACUAUAUCAGUGAUUCUUCGUUCCACUUCUCUGGUCUGAAAGUGUCUCGCUUGGAGCUGGACUGCUUUGUGGGUGAAAAAGGAGCCCGGCCACCUAGGAUUAGCUGACAUGUGUGUGAUUAAGAGUCUUUCUAGCCCCAUGUAUAAUUAGAGGCAGAUCAUGAGAGUAAGCGAAGGAUUUUUUUGUUUUGUUUUGUUUUAAACAGCACGCCCUCAGACUUAUUCUUAACAUUUCAAUUCUGCACAGGUAGCCUCGCCCGCCUCCCCCUAGUGGUCCGGAGUAGGAUCGCCAUGGUCAGAAGAGCCAUUGUGUUUCUGGCUGUGGCUUCCCAGUUCAGGAAGGGGCUGUGAGCUCUGGUUUCUCGUUGUAACAGAAAGAGCCUUAUAAAGUAGGUGAUCUAACCUGGGUGAGGAUAUUAAAAUUUGAAGAGGCUAAAUAAAUCUCCCGAGAGCACAGUAAAUUAAGGCCUAAAUCAGUACAAGAACAUCUGUCAACUGACCCCAGUCCAGAGCCCCACUGAGCACAACUUGAGGAGGAGCCCACUGGCUCCCAAAAUAUACUGGUAAUUCCUAAAGCCAUACUUAGAAGAACAUACAAAGCCCUUACCCCCUUACUUUGCACUGCCUGCAGGACCCUGCCCAUCUCAUGUUCUACCAUUCUCCCAAGCACCAUGGGUGUCUGCCACUCUGUUUUAUUUUUAGUGUAUAAAAAUAUAUACUGACAUUA